CUUCAAAGAAUCAUUUGGAAACGACGUGUGUAUACGAGCUAUCUGGAUUAUCCGUCUUCUUUACAACAGCAUGGCCUUUUUUUUUUUUUUUUUUUUCCAUUUCUUGAUAUCUUCCCUCCGCAGGUCACCGAUGAUCUGAAAACUUGCAGAAACAUUUGUGGUGUUCAAAGCAUAAAACGAUGAAGCGAUGACAGACCCAUUAGCCUUAUCUGCUUCAGAUAAGGGCCAUUCUUCUUCAUCGGACCUGUGUUCUGUUUUCUGGGUCCCCUGGCUGUUGCAAAACGCUACUUGCUUACUCAAUUGCCAAUGAAUGCUAUGCCCACUUUAUAAGUCUGAAAGGACCUGCGUUGCUGACAUUGUGGUUUGGUGAAAGUGAGGCAAAUGUGAGAGAGAUACUUGAUAAGGCUCGUCAGUCACCUCCUUCUGUACUAUUCUAUAGCAACUCAGGUCUUAACAUAUAUUUGCCUAACCCAUCAUUUCUUAUCAGACUCAGAGGUUAUACCAUAAAUCUUAAAACGAAGCCUUUUUUAUAACGGCGUGGAAAUCUCUCUCUAGAAGACAAUAUAUGCUAGCGGUGGCUUGAGCGGUUACAAAGACCGUGUUUAUAAUUGGGGCAAUAAACAGGCCAGACAUUAUAGACCCCACGCUGCUUAGGACGGGAAGUCUGCACCGAUUAAUAUAACAUCAAAGUUUUCAAAGCAUGUCUGUGAGAGAGCUCUUGGGUCACGCACCCAUCACUGAAAUAUGUCAGCGUGCUUGCAAAUAUAGCAUUAGAGAAAAUAUUGAGAAGCCAACUGCAGACCACUCACCCAUUUCCUGUUUUCAGCUGAUAAGGCCAAAGCUGAAAAUAGAAAGACAGCUGAAGAAACUAUAAUCUAAUCUAAAUUUAGGGUCUUCAAGAAACACUAAAUUUCUUUCAUGGAAAAACCAGAACUCUUCGGUGACAAGCUUAGUGCUAAAGGUCCUCGUGAAAUGGGAAGCCAUGUUCAUCCACUGUGGCUGCCUCAAGCCCUUUUUUUUUGUUUGUUUGAAGUGCGUCUUUUCACUACCAUGAAAACUGAAACCAACCUACUUCCCUUAAAAGUUCGCAUUUACACUAACUUCUUGAACUCGUUGCAGCUUUCUUUCUUUAGUCUGUGCUGGUUUGAGCUCUCCUUUUCUUUUUAAAGCAAUGUCGUGUAUAAAAGAGUUGAUUCUUUUUUAGUUUUGUUUUCUUUUUCGUAACGGCUCAAGUUCACCGUUAUUAAAUAUUGUCUGUUUUGAUU